rnacentral:rRNA from 1 species
UGAGGAAUAUUGGACAAUGGGUGAGAGCCUGAUCCAGCCAUCCCGCGUGAAGGACGACGGCCCUAUGGGUUGUAAACUUCUUUUGUAUAGGGAUAAACCUACCACUACGUGAGGGUAGCUGAAGGUACUAUACAGAAUAAGCACCGGC